rnacentral:rRNA from 1 species
GACGAACGCUGGCGGCGUGCCUAAUACAUGCAAGUCGAGCGGACCGGAUUGGGGCUUGCCUUGAUUCGGUCAGCGGCGGACGGGUGAGUAACACGUGGGCAACCUGCCCGCAAGACCGGGAUAACUCCGGGAAACCGGAGCUAAUACCGGAUAACACCGAAGACCGCAUGGUCUUCGGUUGAAAGGCGGCCUUUGGGCUGUCACUUGCGGAUGGGCCCGCGGCGCAUUAGCUAGUUGGUGCGGUAACGGCCCACCAAGGCGACGCUGCGUAGCCGGCCUGAGAGGGUGACCGGCCACACUGGGACUGAGACACGGCCCAGACUCCUACGGGAGGCAGCAGUAGGGAAUCUUCCGCAAUGGGCGAAAGCCUGACGGAGCGACGCCGCGUGAGCGAAGAAGGCCUUCGGGUCGUAAAGCUCUGUUGUGAGGGACGAAGGAGCGUCGUUCGAAGAGGGCGGCGCGGUGACGGUACCUCACGAGAAAGCCCCGGCUAACUACGUG